UAGGUGAUGGGGUAACCUUACAGUUCGGAU
rnacentral:piRNA from 1 species